rnacentral:rRNA from 1 species
AUUGAACGCUGGCGGAAUGCUUUACACAUGCAAGUCGAACGGUAGAGGGGCAACCCUUGAGAGUGGCGAACGGGUGAGUAAUGUAUCGGAACAUGCCCAGUCGUGGGGGAUAACGUAGCGAAAGUUACGCUAAUACCGCAUACGAUCUAUGGAUGAAAGCGGGGGAUCGCAAGACCUCGCGCGAUUGGAGUGGCCGAUAUCAGAUUAGGUAGUUGGUGGGGUAAAGGCCUACCAAGCCGACGAUCUGUAGCUGGUCUGAGAGGCCGACCAGCCACACUGGGACUGAGCCACGGCCCAGACUCCGACGGGAGGCAGCAGUGGGGAAUUUUGGACAAUGGGCGAAAGCCUGAUCCAGCCAUUCCGCGUGCAGGAAGAAGGCCUUCGGGUUGUAAACUGCUUUUGUACGGAACGAAACGCGCUGUGCUAAUACCACGGCGUAAUGACGGUACCGUAAGAAUAAGCACCGGCUAACUACGUGCCAGCCGCCGCCGUAA